rnacentral:rRNA from 1 species
UAGGGAAUCUUCCACAAUGGACGAAAGUCUGAUGGAGCAACGCCGCGUGAACGAUGAAGGCCUUCGGGUCGUAAAGUUCUGUUGUAAGGGAAGAACAAGUGCCGCAGGCAAUGGCGGCACCUUGACGGUACCUUGCGAGAAAGCCACGGCUAACUACGUGCCAGCAGCCGCGGUAAUACGUAGGUGGCAAGCGUUGUCCGGAAUUAUUGGGCGUAAAGCGCGCGCAGGCGGCCUCUUAAGUCUGAUGUGAAAGCCCCCGGCUCAACCGGGGAGGGCCAUUGGAAACUGGGAGGCUUGAGUAUAGGAGAGAAGAGUGGAAUUCCACGUGUAGCGGUGAAAUGCGUAGAGAUGUGGAGGAACACCAGUGGCGAAGGCGACUCUUUGG